GAGAGUAAGAAAAAGAAGACAGAGGAGGAAAAGAGGGAGGAGUGGGGAGCAGAGGUGAGGAAGAAACUGAUGGCAAAAUCAAAACUCAGAGUGCCCUCAAUGCACCCAAGUGGGGGGCCCCAUUUCCUGGGUAGCACAGGUGAGAGAGCCAGGGUCCACAGUGGUCCAGAGUAGCAGUGUCCUGUCCGAAUUGGUGCAGCCUGCGGCUGGGCUGCGAGCCACAGCCCACAGUGGCAGGCAGAGUUCCUGGAAAGCAAGCGGGUGGAGUUCCUCCUAGAGAUCAGAGCAGCUUGGGCAAGAUCCCCUGGUCAAGGUCUCCACCCUGGCAGAGGUAACACCCCCCUGGGGGAGGAGUGGGACGUGUGUCCGCCCUGUAGGUUUGGUACAGCCUGUCCUGUGAGCUUCCGGUGGCUUCUCUGUUACUCUACCCUGGAUGAGUUAGUUGGUCUUAAGUUCCCGAAGGCAUGGAUGGAGGGGGGGGCGGUGUUGUGAGGCCACCUGAGUGGAAAGAUUGGCACUGUUUACAAAAUCAACCUCUCCUUGGAAACUUCUUUUUUUUUUUUAAUUAACACAGGCCAAUAAAAGUUAAGACACAAGAGAGCAGAAGGAUGCUCACAUCUGGUAGGGACCCCUGCCACCACCUCCUCCACCUCCUUCUCCUCCCCCACCCUCUGCUUCCUUUUCCUCUCUUUAUCCCUUCUCCCCUUUGCUUUCUUUCUUCCCCCCUUCUCUUUUCCUCCCCGUUUGUCUCCCUUCCCACCUUCUGCCUUCUACAUACAUUUAUUAAACACCAGCUGUAUGCCAGGCACUUCUCUGAGCCCUAAAGACACAGCAUGCAAUACGUAUAUAUAAGGCCCUGCUUAUAUUCUGAAGGGUUGUCCAUGUCUGCUCCUGUAAGGGGUACCACUGUGAUGCCGUGGAGGCCAGCUUCUUGUGGUCCAGGGUGUUUCAUGGGCUUCUGUGAAUGGGCAGCCUGCCUACCCAUCUUAUCACUAGAGAUGCCUGUUCCUUAGGCAACCCUCCCCCUGUAGUAUUGCCUCCACCAAGGCUGCCUUGGCAGAGGACUCUCCCAUGGGUUCCCUUCCCUGGGGAAUAGGCAGCACCCGCCUCCUGGUCUGCAGAGUUCUCUCUCCCUGCCACCUCCCCCUACUGCCACCCACAGCUAUUCUGGGCCCCAGGUCCCUUUCACUUUCUGCUUAGCUCUUCCUGCUCAGCAGUUCCUCACCCUCCCCUGCUCCUCCAGCCCCCUCCCUGCUGGCCCCAGGUUCUGUCUGUGCCUCUUUUGCUGCUGGCUCCAGUUUCUGUUAGAAACUGCACGGGAAGGUAGCUUGUAGUGAGACCUGGGUUUGAAUUCCCCUCUGUGCCUUCCUGGCAUGGGGCUUUGACCCACCUUGGAGCUUCAAAUCCUUGCAUGCACCACUUAGUGGGGCUAUGGGCGCUGGGAGCUCCUCUGCAGUUUCCCUGAGACACUCCAGGAUUUAUAUCUUAGCUCAAGUCUCAGCACAUAAUAGAAACAGAGAUCAUGCACAAGUUCUUGUGUGUGUGCAUGUGUGUGUGUGUGCACAUGCAUGUAUGUGUAUGCAUGCAUGCACAUGCUCGUGUGUAAUGGGAUGGGGCACUAAGGAAAAAAGAACAACAAAAUCCCUGAGGACUUCACUGAGCACCCCUCUAGGAAGGGUGACCUUGGCCAAGUCCCUUUCUUCCUUAAGCCCUAGUUUCCCUGUGAAGUAACUGCAAUAAAGAUCAGUUAUCCCUGCCAAGCAAUGGUGGCACACGCCUUUAAUCCCAGCCCUUUGGAGGCAGAUUGAUCUCUGGUCUACAAAGUGAGUUCCAGAACAAGCAGGGCUAUUCAGUGAAAUGCUGAAAAAGUGAAAGUGGGGGGUGGAGAGAGAGGGAGGAGAGAGAGAGAGAGAAGAAGGGAGAGGGAAACAGAAAGGGAGAGGGAGGGGGAGGGGAGGGAAAGACAGAGAGAGAGGGAUGGAGGAAGGGAGGGAGGGAGGGAGGGAGGGAGGGAGGGAGAGAGAGAGAGAGAGAGUCCCAGUGCCUAGUGAAUGCUGGCUGAGCUGUACCCUGGCUCUCCUGUAGGGUGGCCUCAGCUGAUAGGCUUCAUCCAGCUGCUUGUGUCUUUGUUUACAGAGCUGCCUCAGGCGUCUUCCCAUAAUGCUUAUGCUUGUAGCUCUAAGAGCACAGGUAGGAACCAUAGACCCCUUAAAGAUUAGGCAGGAGUAGCUGGUCUCUUAACCAUUUGGUCAGGAUACUAACAUUCAGGGAUAGGACACAAAUUCAAAAACAACUUCAGCCCCACCCCCAACGCAUCUUCUACUUUAGGGACAGUUUGAUACUUUUCAAAAGUCUGCUCCUUCUGCUUCAGCCUCCUGGAAGCAGGAACUACAGUAGUGUGCCACCACACCUGACAUUUUCUUAUCUUUUCUCACUUCCUCUUUCCCUCCCACGAGAUUUCUCCAGUCUGGAAUCAUAGGGCUUAGAUUUGCUGCAGCCAUCUUCUGUCUAGCCUGAAGUUUCCCUUUUCAGGACCUCUGGUGUUGUUUUUGGAUACAGUAUCUCUUUUUGUUUCCCUACAGGCUUUGCUUACUCUGUCUGUGGAGCCCCGCUUUCUGUUUUUACUUUUUGCAUUAUUCAUUUACCUACUAACAGAGGUGUGUACAGUAGUCAGGGGACAUGUGUGCAGGUCCCAACUUGCAGGGACAUUUCUUUCCUUCCACACGUGGAUUCUGGGGAUCAGACUCAGAACUGGUUUACCUUCUGUCCAGCCUGCCACCUGCUUGGCCCAGGCCUCAGGCAGUUUUUAUGUAGAUGGCACACUUGGGGGCUGAAGAUAUGACUCAGUUGAUAAUGUGUGCCUAUUAUGAACAACCACCUGGACCCCAUCCCAGGACUACAUAAACCAGGCAUGGUGGUGCAUGCCAGUGAUCUCAGGACUGGUAAAUGAAGGGAGGGAAACAAGAGGAUGGAGAGUUCAAGGCCACCCUAAGCUAGUAUGUUUGAGACCAGCUUGGGCUACAUGAGACCUUGUCUC
rnacentral:lncRNA from 1 species